rnacentral:rRNA from 1 species
UUGACCUCGGAUCGGGCAGGGAUACCCGCUGAACUUAAGCAUAUCAAUA